GGUAUUGUGGCUCAGCAGUAGAGCGCUUGCCUUGUGUGCAUGAGGCCUUGGAUCUGAUUUCUCAGCACCA
rnacentral:tRNA from 1 species